ACAGUUGGAAGCUUGCUUUUUAAGCUUAGUGGCGAACGGGUGAGUAACGCGUGAGGAACCUGCCUUUCAGUGGGGGACAACAGUUGGAAACGACUGCUAAUACCGCAUAAAGCAUAGAGAUCGCAUGGUUUUUAUGCCAAAGAUUUAUUGCUGAAAGAUGGCCUCGCGUCUGAUUAGCUAGUUGGUGGGGUAACGGCCCACCAAGGCGACGAUCAGUAGCCGGUCUGAGAGGAUGAACGGCCACAUUGGGACUGAGAUACGGCCCAGACUCC
rnacentral:rRNA from 1 species